rnacentral:rRNA from 1 species
GACGGAGGGUGCUAGCGUUGUUCGGAAUUACUGGGCGUAAAGGGCGCGUAGGCGGCCUGGUCAGUCGGAUGUGAAAGCCCCGGGCUCAACCUGGGAAUUGCAUUCGAGACUGAAUAGCUAGGGUACGGUAGAGGGAAGUGGAAUUUCCGGUGUAGCGGUGAAAUGCGUAGAUAUCGGAAGGAACAUCAGUGGCGAAAGCGACUUCCUGGACCAGUACCGACGUUCAGGCACGAAAGCGUGGGGAGCAAACAGG